UACGAAGGUUGCGAGCGUUGUUCGGAAUCACUGGGCUUAAAGCGCAUGUAGGCGGCCCAUCAAGUGCCUUGUGAAAUCCCCCGGCUCAACCGGGGAAUGGCUUGGCAGACUGUUCGGGCUUGAGGCAGGUAGGGGCGCGUUGAACUCUUGGUGGAGCGGUGGAAUGCGUAGAUAUCAAGAGGAACGCCGGUGGCGAAAGCGGCGCGCUGGGCUGGUCCUGACGCUGAGAUGCGAAAGCCAGGGGAGCAAACGGG
rnacentral:rRNA from 1 species